UAUAAACUAAUGGAUAGGUUUUUUCCACUCAUUGGUACAAACUCCAAAACUUCUUCCAAAUUCGACCUCAAAUCAGGUAGGACUACCCGCUGAACUUAAGCAUAUCAAUAAGCGGAGGAAAAGAAACCAACAGGGAUUGCCUUAGUAGCGGCGAGUGAAGCGGCAAAAGCUCAAAUUUGAAAUCUGGCACUUUCAGUGUCCGAGUUGUAAUUUGAAGAAGGUAUCUUUGGGUCUGGCUCUUGUCUAUGUUUCUUGGAACAGAACGUCACAGAGGGUGAGAAUCCCGUGCGAUGAGAUGUCCCAGACCUAUGUAAAGUUCCUUCGAAGAGUCGAGUUGUUUGGGAAUGCAGCUCUAAGUGGGUGGUAAAUUCCAUCUAAAGCUAAAUAUUGGCGAGAGACCGAUAGCGAACAAGUACAGUGAUGGAAAGAUGAAAAGAACUUUGAAAAGAGAGUGAAAAAGUACGUGAAAUUGUUGAAAGGGAAGGGCUUGAGAUCAGACUUGGUAUUUUGUAUGUUACUCUCUCGGGGGUGGCCUCUACAGUUUACCGGGCCAGCAUCAGUUUGAGCGGUAGGAUAAGUGCAAAGAAAUGUGGCACUGCUUCGGUAGUGUGUUAUAGUCUUUGUCGAUACUGCCAGCUUAGACUGAGGACUGCGGCUUCGGCCUAGGAUGUUGGCAUAAUGAUCUUAAGUCGCCCGUCUUGAAACACGGACCAAGGAGUCUAACGUCUAUGCGAGUGUUUGGGUGUAAAACCCGUACGCGUAAUGAAAGUGAACGUAGGUAGGACCUCCUUUAGGAGUGCACUAUCGACCGAUCCUGAUGUCUUCGGAUGGAUUUGAGUAAGAGCAUAGCUGUUGGGACCCGAAAGAUGGUGAACUAUGCCUGAAUAGGGUGAAGCCAGA
rnacentral:rRNA from 1 species